rnacentral:lncRNA from 1 species
AGAGCGCGUGCGGCCGCCGAGCACAUGGGCCCGCUGGCGGUGCGGGCUCCGGAGGCUGGGACCUGGAGGAGCCGCGAGCCAGGAUGGGACCCGGUAUCCCCAGAGCCCCGCGCGUAUGGAUAUCCACGUGGAAAAUGUUGGCGGUCCGGGUGACCUGGGAGAUAUGGCUGGAUCCACAGUGCA